rnacentral:rRNA from 1 species
CCUACGGGUGGCAGCAGUGAGGAAUAUUGCUCAAUGGGCGAAAGCCUGACGCAGCGAAGCCGCGUGAGGGAUGACGGUCUUCGGAUCGUAAACCUUUGUUAGUAGGGAAGAACGGUCACUGUGCUAAUCAGCAGUGAAUUGACGGUACCAGCAAAGGAAGGACCGGCCAACUCCGUCCCAGCAGCCGCGGUAAUACGGCGGGUCCGAGCGUUGAUCGGAAGUAUUGGGCGUAAAGCGAUCGUAGGCGGUAUGUCAAGUCAAGUGUGAAAUCUCCGGGCUCAACGUGGGAACUGCAUUUGAAACUGGCAACCUGGAGUGUGUGAGAGGAUGGUGGAAUUCGAGGUGUAGGAGUGAAAUGCGUAGAUAUCUGGAAGAACACCGGUGGCGAAGGCGACUAUCUGGCACAUAACUGACGCUGAGGAGCGAAAGCGUGGGUAGCAAACAGGAUUAGAUACCCGAGUAGUC